UGUACGGUGCUGCAGCGAUGCUUCAGCGUUGGGUCCUACAUAGCGGUGGCCUUUCGGUGUGGUGCAAUAUGCUCCUCUUUUAACUUCUACCGAUGCAAGGUCGUGUUGGGAGAUCGAGGAUCGUGUGUGCGUGACCUGAGAACAGCGACAGCAUGGUGGAGGUGUCGUGGUAGCCGGCUUGCAGCAGACUGUGGCAGCCAGUCCUAACUGGUUUGGCAUGGGACAUUGUCAGGGACGAUAGCGCUUGCGAUGAUGGCUACUUGUCGGCUUUUCUCCCGAGUUGCAAUGGUGCGCGUGGUGGUUCAGUGCUAAGGCGUUAGCAAUGCGCGGCUUGUGUCGAUAUCUCAAUCUGACUGGCCACGGAGUUUGUUUUGUUUUGAGUUGAGUU
rnacentral:lncRNA from 1 species